UUCAAAGGUUCUUCCAAUGAACCCUACUAAUUUAUUUGCCGUCUUUACUGUUUCUGUGCAAUGUUGACUCGGCUUUAGGUCGUUUGACACAACGACACCAAGAUCUUUUUCUUUAUUGGCGCUUGACAGUGGCAUGUUAUUCAUUACAUAUUUCGCCUCAACAUUGAUGCUUCCGAUAUGUAAAAUUUUACUUUUCUAUAUUGAAUCUCAUCUGCCAUUUUUCUGCCCAGCUUGUUAGUUUAUCGAGGUCACACUGCAGUUCCUGCCAUUGUGACAGAUGUUACUCUACUUGUUAUUUUGUUGUCAUCUGCAAAUUUACUUAUUUUGCUAUUUAUCCCUUCAUCAAUAUCAUUAAUGUGCAUUAUAAAGAGUACUGGUCCUAAUACAGAACCUUGAGGAACGCCGCUAUUUACCUUAUGCCACUCUGACUCUUUUCCAUUUAUCACAACAUGCUGUUUUCUGUGAGAGAGCCAGUCUCUCAGCCAUUCCAGGGUGUUUCCGGCAAUGCCGUGAGCUUUUACUUUACUGACGAGUCUCUUAUGGGGAACAGUGUCGAAAGCGUUCUGGAAAUCAAGGUAGAUAAUAUCAACAGCUUUUGUGUCGUCAUAUGAGUUAAAUACUUCAUAAAAGAAGUCUAGUAAGUUUGUUAAGCAGGAACACUUGGUUUUGAAACCAUGUUGCGAAUCCUUUAUGAUUUUAUUUUCUUCUAAAUAUUUAACAAUUUUAUCUCUGAUUAUUGUUUCCAUCAGCUUGCACACUACUGAAGUGAGACUGAUCGGCCUGUAAUUGGCUGGGAGAGAUUUAUUUCCUUUUUUAAAGGGGAACUUUACCCGCUAGUAAAGUUUUAUUGAAUAAAAUUGUAAGCGGCUUCACGAGCUCAUUUCUUGCUUCUUUAAGAAGCCUGGGUGAUAUCUUGUCUGGCUCGGGUGUUUUGUUUACGUUCAUGCUCUUUGUGACUGAGAGGAUUUCACUUUCUGUGAUGGUGAAGUCUGGCAGCGUGGUGCCUCGUGACUGAGGCGUGGGGAUCAGCAGACUGCCCUGAGCAUCCUCAGUCGUGAAGACUGUUGAAAAGUACUUGUUCAGGGCGUUCGCCAUGUCUGUUUCGCUUUCUAUUUGUUUACCAUUUUCUGUUUUUAGUGGACCAAUCGUUGAUGUUAACACCCUUUUUGCUUUUACAUAGCUGUAAAAUUCUUUUGGGUUCGUUUUACAUGAGUUCGCGAUCUGAGCUUCAACAAAUUUAUUGUUGCAUUUGAUCAGCUUUUUAGUUUUUUUACGCAAUCUGUCGUGCUCUAGUUUAUCAUUAUUAUUUUGUGUUAGUAUGUAUUUGUGGUACGCAUUUUUCUUAGCAGCAUCCGAUUUCAUUAUUCCACCAUUUCGGUUUGGUGUUUUUUACCUUCCGUCUGUUUCGUUGUGGUACACACAAAAUCGCAGGAAAAGGAGGAGGAGGAGGAGGUUGUAGUAGUGGUAGUAGUAGUCAUAGUAGCAGUAGUAGUAGUUAGGUUAAGCUAGGUUAGGUUAGAUUAAGUUCAGUAUGUUUAGGUUAAGUUAAGCUAGGUUUGGUUGGGUUAAAUUAGAAUGAAGUUCAAUAUAGUCAGGUUUGUUUAGGUUAAGUUAAGCUAGGUUUGAUUUGGUUAAGUUAGGAUGAAGUUCAAUAUACCGUAUUUGAUGGCUCAUAAGACGCUACUUUUUUCUCAGAAAAAGGGUCAGUAAAUUAGCCUGCGUCCAAUGAGGCAAAGGUCCAACUUUGAGGCAGUAAUAGGUUACAAGUCUACGGCAACAGAGGCUCUAAAUUCAAACCACAGAUGUCUUUGCACAACUAAAUAAAGUCAUGAUUGGUAGUACGCCACAAAAUGCUCUUUCUUUCAAGGUACCAAUGUGUAGUAUCUCAUACUUACUGGUAAUCCACAUAGACUUUGACCAGUCAGGAAGAAUUUGCUUAACCAUGCACCACUUCUUCUUGGAGUUUUGUUGGGGCAGUGUAGGUUGUGAUGUCACAGCCUUUGAUGCCCCAAAGGUGAGGUAUCCAAUUAUAAUAUUAGACUAGAUGUGAUGGAGCUGGUUGGAUUUGUGGAGAAGGUUCUGGCAAGGUGGAGAUGGUGCACCACGUUUUUCAAAACAAACGCGGUCGGUUGCGCUCCGACGUGACGUACUCGGUGACACCGAGUGUGACGCCGUUAUACUGAUUGAGGUAAGACAAUAGCCACACUUUCAUACAAUUAAAAUUGAACCUAUCUUUUUAACAUUCUUGCUUUGCAUACAUAUGAAAAAGAUUGAAGCUAGAGAAACUUUUCUUUUAUGAAAAUAGACUAAUACACCUUGAGAACGAAUAUUUCUUCUAUAAAGGAAUUGAGUGUCAUGGGAUAGGCUGGCUUGAGGUGAUGAUCUGCAUAAUAUUCAUGUAAUAGCUUAUGCAAGAGUGUUUAAAACUUCCAGAUUUUAUUACACAACAUGAUGGAGUCAAAAAAACGACACAAUUACACAAUUGCAUACAAGCUACAAGUAAUACAAUAUGCUAAGGAAAACGGCAACAGAGCUGCUGCUAGGCAUUUUGGUCCACCUCCAACUGAGAAAAUGAUUCGUUUUUGGCGAAAACAAGAGGAAGAACUUCAGAAAGCUGUGAAAUCAAAACAUGGUCUUCGCACAAAGAAAGCUAAAUGGGUGGAACUGGAAGAGGAGAUGAAGGCUUGGGUUGUUGAUCAAAGGAAUCAGGGUGCAAUAGUAACAACUAAACAAAUAAUUUUUGAAGCUAAAGAAAGGGCAACUGCCAAAGGCUAUGAUGAUUUUGGUGGUAAUGAGGGCUGGUGUUAUAGAUUUAUGAAAAGGAAUGGAUUAGCAAUGCGAACUAAAACAAAAAUAUCACAAAAAAUGCCUAUGGCAUAUGAAAACAAAAUUCUUGAGUUUCAUAAAUACGUUAUAAAUCUCAGAAAGGACACCCAUUUUGAAAUGGGACAAAUUGCAAAUAUGGAUGAAGUACCACUGUCAUUUGAUGUGCCUUCUAAUAAAACAGUUGAUUUUAAAGGUUCUAAGACUGUGACUAUUAAAACCUCAGGCCAUGAGAAAACUCAUUUUACAGCAGUACUGGCUUGUUGUGCUGAUGGCACUAAAUUACCACCUUUCCUCAUAUUCAAGAGGAAAACCUUUCCCAAAGAAAGCAUUCCACCAGGUAUCUUUAUUCAUGUUCAUCCUAAGGGCUGGAUGGAUGAGGAUGGUGUGAAGCUGUGGCUUGACAAAGUAUGGUCACGGCGUCCUGGGGGACUUAUAAAAAAAACAUCACUUCUUGUGUGGGAUCAAUUUAGGGCUCAUUUAACUCAGGCUACCAAGAACAGAGUACACAAUCUAAACACAAAAGUGGCUGUAAUACCUGGUGGACUAACAUGCCAGUUGCAACCACUUGAUGUUUGCAUAAACAAACCUUUCAAGGUGUAUAUGCGUGAGCAGUGGAACGCGUGGAUGAGACUCCCGCAACAUGACAAAACACCAUCGGGCUUCAUCAAGAAGCCUACAAUAGCCUAGGUUUGCCAGUGGGUAAAAAUUGCUUGGGAUAAAGUAAAAACAGAGACAGUGGUGCUUUCAUUCAAGAAAUGUGGCAUCAGUAAUGAUCUUGAGGGCACAGAGGAUGACCUUCUAUACGAAGGCAGUGACUCUUCUACUUCUAGUAGUGAUUCUGGUGAGCUUGAGGAAUGCAGUACUGAUGACAGUGACAAUGAUUUUGUAGGGUUUGGAUGUGAAUAAAAAUGCUACAGUUGUGCUAAGCAAAUUUCAGAAUGAAUAAAAUCAAUUUAUUUUCAUGAAUUUGAAUUAAAAACUCUUUAGUUUUGUUGUGUAAGAUUUCAGAAUGAAUAAGAUCAAUUUAUUUGCACGAAAAUUUAUUUGAAUUAAAAAAAGGAAUGAAACACUUCAGAUUUGUUUUUUUACUUUUGUAACUUCUAAGAAUAAAACUAAUUUAUUUUCACGGAUUUGAAUUUGAAUAAAAUGUAGUAGGUAAACUAUAGUAAUUUGUGCAAGGUAUUCAAAGUGAAUAUUAUGAAUUUGUUGUGAUUUGAAUACGAAUUAAAAGAUACAAUUGUACUAAAUUUUAUGAUGAAUGAAAUAAUAUUUCAAGUAAAAUACACUUUAGAAAAUAAAGUUAGUAAGUCUGCUUUUACACAUCCUUUGGCUUUGAAAAUGUACUAAAAUACUGCAUAAGAAUUACAUGUGAAAGAUGCUAAAAAAUAAAGUAUGAAAAAAUUUUAUUAUCACUGUAGUCCCUCAGUUAAUGGUGCCGCGGCUGCCGCCAAGAGCUAGGUGCAGUUAAUGUUUACAUUCAGCUGAACCGCAUUAAGACUGAAACUCCCCUGCUUACCACACCUUUUGGGCACUAGAGGCUGUGACAUCACAGUCUGCAUGGCCCCAACUAAAAUACCAAUAAGAAGAUUGUGUUUACACGUCAGCAGGAUUGGUACAAUCUUGUCUUUCAAUACCCUCAACCGAACCAUUACGUUCUGGCUUUCAAGGCCCGCAACCUUACCAAGAUUUGACUCCAGAAAUCCAACCAGCUCCACUGUAUCUAGUCUGAAACACUACCUGUAUACCACACCUUUGGGACGCCAGGCUGUGAUGUCACGGCCAUCACAGCCUCAACAAAACCCCAAAAAGAACAAAACUGGGUGCGUCUUAUGAGCCCGUGCGUCUUAUGAGCCAUCAAAUACGGAUGUGCCAGAGCAGCUGCUGUUUGUGCACCGCAGCCAGCAGGAGGUGAAGGAGUUACACUGGCACCCUCAGAUCCCCGGCCUGCUGGUGUCCACGGCUCACAGCGGCUUCAAUAUCUUUAAGACCAUCAGCUGCUAUUUCUCUGCACCGCAGCCGCGCGUCCUCGUCAACUCGUGCAGCUCUUCCCGAACGCCUCCCGCGUCUUGGGAGUCUUUCUGAUCCGCAGCAGCAGAGUGCUUUCUUAAUCUUUCCAGGCAGAGGAGGAGGUGAAGAAGGCACCGCUGACCCCUGACCUGGAAAGCAAGGUCACCAAGAUUAAGGUGUCCAGUGGGAAGCAGCCCACACUACUACUACCAUCACCAUCACCACCAGGGCAGCCCCGUCCCAGAGCCAAAUGUCCCCCUGGCUGGUGGCUGACCCUCCUCCCCCCCACGACCAGGAGGGCCGUGAUUGGCCCUCCUGGAGGAAAGGUUUAUGGUAGUUUUUUUGAGGUUUUUGACUGGUUGAGAGUAUUAGUGUGUGUGUGUGUGUGCAACACACACACACACACACACACACUUGAGCAACAGACAAACAAACAAACAAACACAAACAAGAACAUUCCAGUAAAUCAUUCAUCUCAUUAUGAAAAUAGUGUCACUAUUAUUAUUAUUAUUAUUAUUAUUAUUAUUAUUAUUAUUAUUGGUUUUAUUGUACUUAAGUAACUUAGCUCAUUAUUUUUAUAGAUUUUUGACUGACUGUGUGUGUGUGUGAGAAAGAGAGAGAGAGAGACUGACUGACUGACUAACCGAAUAUAAACAUUCUUUGCGCACACACACACACACACACACACACACACACACACACACA